GCUGCAACUUUUUAUACUUGUUGGAUUGUAUGGGAGACUGCCAGAAGCCUUGCCAAUGUCCAGCAAUGCAAUAAGAUUGCUUUCCUUUUGGCCAUGGAGUUCACAGUCAUAUCACACAGAGGGCAUUCAGUUUCUAGAUUCAGUCUCUUGAAGUUGGCCUAGUGUAAAGAAAUGUUUUGGGCAUGGAAUAAAAUCUCAAGACAGUAUCUCAGGACUACUCCUUUUAAAGAUAGAGUGGAAACAAGUUUUGUGUUUGUCUUGUGACCAUGGACAAGAUGGGUGAAAUGAUGUAGCAUUCAUGUUGCUGAAGAGUGAGCAAAUUUGAUGAAAAGGAGGAAGCAGGAAUGUGAGAAUAGAAGAGGACCUGAUCAAAAACCUCCCUUUUGAUGAGUAGGAACCUGGAUGGAUGCCUGUGGCAGGCUGUUGCAGUACACAAUGAUAUUUGAGGACAAAUUACUUCAAUUACUUGUUUGUUCCAUGUCAAUAUGAACAUUAGCCAUUAAGCAGUUAGCUUUCAUAAAGUGAAAUUUGACUUACCCUAAUCCAAAGCAUAAAAGGUAAAAUAUUUCUCAAAGUGACAGGACUAGGUUAUUUUUGUAGAUGUGCCUACUGACUUUUGAGGUAGGGCUCUGAUGUGCUUGGGACUUCUUGAAUUUACAAGAUGUGUCCUCACUGCAUUGCAGGACUUGGGGCUAAGAGCAAAUUGAAGCACAUAAUUAUGUUCUGACAGGUGGAAUCUUAAAUGCUAUCAUAGUACAUUUUAGCAUUUUGCUAGGGCUCCUUCUUAGGCUUAUUUAUCUGAGCAAGGGCUUUUGUUUGGCUUCAGGGUAAAGGACAGUCUAGCUCUUAGUUUUGAAAGGCAAUAUUAAUAUGAACAAUUCUUAAUAACAGCUGCUUCAGAGAGCCUUAAUAUGAUGUUAUGCAAGUUUAAAUUUCUUGUCUUCUAGCAUACUGAUUUAGCUAUUGUUUCCUUUAAAGAAGGGUGAAACUUUGAGGCAUGUGUUAUUAGACUUUUUUGAUUAAACUUGCAUUGCUAGUACAAAUUCAUAAUAUUACUUACCAGUCACUUCAUUUCCCACAUAAAGUACUUCUUAUCUGUCUCCUUUGAGGAGUGCACUUAUUAAAACAGGCACACAGGACACACACGCUCCAAUAACUUUGAUAGCAUUUAUUAGUAUUGCAUAUUCUGUGUGGCCAUAGCUUCACACAGGUAGGACAGCUUAUCUUCAAAUACUUGGAUAAACUGUGCAAGAUGUCACUGGACACCUCUGAUAAGUGUCCAUUGUCUUUACAUCUGCUUCUCUUCAGACAUUUUUACAAACUGAUAAAUUCCCUUAACUGUCUUCUUCAUAGCUCUUUGCUUGACUCUCUGCAGCAGCCCCAUAUUUCUGGGGAGCCCAGGAUUGGACACAGCACUGCAGCUGUGGCCUCACCAGGGCUGAGGAGAGGGGGAAGGAUCCCCUCUCUUGAUCUGGCAGCAAUGCUUCUGAUGUAGCCCAGGAUACUGGUGGUCCUGUUAGCCACAAGGGCAUCUUGGUGUCUAUCAGCAUCCCCAGGGCCUCUUCUGCAAAGCAGCUUUCCAGCUGCCUGCCCCCAGCACAUACUGACACAGGAACUCCUGAGGUUGUCCCUCUUCAGGCACUGGAAUU